AAAAAGAGAGAAAACCAGGACACUCACCGUCAGCCCGGCUGCCACCACAACAGAUUCUUUUUAACUUACCGUAUGCUACGUAACUUUGGUUGACUGUUUGAACAUGAAUGGAUGAGCGAGUUUGGUGUGGAGAACAUGACUGAGUCCUGACCCCAACCCGACAGAACACCUUUGGGAUAAAUUAGAGAAAUUCCCUUGAACACACUCCUAAACCUUGUGGAAAGGUUCCCUUCCCAGAACAGUUGAAGCUGUAAUAGCUGCAAAGGAUGGGCCAACUCCAUAUUAAACCCUAAAGUUAAGUUUCUAGAAGAAGAGCCUUAUAUCCAGUCCGGUUCCUUGGGAGAGAAUCCUGCACCC